rfam:Lunatimonas lonarensis strain AK24 S14_contig_87, whole genome shotgun sequence.
GUCAGAGGCUUGCCCUGACGCAGUCAGGGAGCAGCCAUCAAACCACCUUACGCUGCAUAUCUGGGAAAUCAAUAUGUGGUGAGCGGUAAGGAAAAACGGGGACUUUGAUCCCUGUAGGU